rnacentral:misc_RNA from 1 species
GUUUUUCAAUCUUGUUUAUUUCCACGAGUAACGUUAAAAAGUUAGUAAAUAUUUAACAAACAUCUUAAAUAAACAUCCGUUCUCAGUUGUUUUGUAAUAAAAUGAUGACAGUAAGAAAGUGAAAAGGGCAAUAAACAUAGAAGGACAAUAGAAGAGAAAACUUUGGUAAAGAAUGGCUGUGUUAUACUUAAAAUAUAUUGAGGGAAGUAUUCCAUUAUUUCUUCAUGGUAUUUUGUGUGCACUUGCAUACGGUGUCUGGUUAUUGUUUGCUGCGGUGUGCCUUCCACUCAUUCUUGUGUUUCGAUUUUAUAGUACUUUAGAAAACUUUCUUAUUACAUAUAGAAAGUUAGGAACUGUGUUUACUCCAUUCGAUAAAGCAUUCAUCCACGAAAGUAAAGAAAAUAGAAAUUUUAUUAUUGGGAUUUUUGAACUUGAAGGAGAACCAAAUAUUGAAAAGAUUCGAAAGUGUGUUAUUGCUCGCUUUCUUAACAAACGCCGUCUUCUAGAUAAAACCUAUGAACGUUUGUCUCAAAGAGUUACAAAACGAUAUUUUUCAUAUAUAUGGGAAGAGGAAUCAAAUUUCAACAUUAGACAACAUAUUCCAAUUUAUAAAGGGGUUUUGCCGGAAACAAAAAAGGAUAUUGAACAGCUGUGUUCCAGAUUAACAGAUGAGGAAUUUCCUAAAGAUAUAUCGCCUUGGAUGUUAAAAAUAAUUCCUAAAAAAGACAAGUCAGGAUUUAUUAUUUUUGCUAAAGUACAUCACGUGAUUGGGGAUGGGUAUGCUCUGAUAGGAUUAUUAUCGGAACUUGUUGAUCAAAAACCACAGUUUAUGGAUUUUCCACCAAAACCUCAAGGUUAUUUGUCAAAUAAAGUUGCAAAGGUAUUAUCAAUUGUUCUGACAGGUCCAUUAGCUUUAUUAACGAUAGCUUUUUCACAGAAUCUUAGAAAUCCAUUUAAAGCAACAAAGGGGCUAACUAGUAAAACAAUAAGUUGGACCAACCCAAUAAGUUUGGAGACGAUAAAGAGGAUAAAAUCAAAAACAAAUACUACAGUUAAUGAUGUAAUGAUGUCUACAUUAGGUGGGGCACUUCGAAGAUAUUUAACAGAGAGGGGCAUAUUUCCCGAUGACCAACCUGUUGCUAUGACUUUUAAUUUGCGGUCAGCGUCGGAAAUGAUGAAAACUAACAUUCCUUUGGGAAAUAACUCUGGUGGUUUGUUUCUGAACUUACCGCUUUCAGUUUCAGAUCCUGUUGAAAGGCUUGAAGUAACAAAGAAUCGGAUUGUAUUGCUUAAAAAACUAUCCCAUGAACAAAUGUUUUCUUUUUUUUUCUACAACGUUGCAAGUAUACUACCAGAUUUUUUUAGUCGCAUUACAGCUUUUGCACUGCGACGAAAUACAACACUGAUUGUUUCUAAUGUUCCAGGUCCAACCACACCAUUGCAUAUUCUUGGAUCACGCUUAAAAUCAAUUGUUUUUACACCCCCACUUCAUGGUGGAGUUGGUCUUGUUGUAUCUGUUUUCAGCUAUAAUGAAAAACUGCAGUUAGCUGUAAUGACAGAUGAAACUAUCAUUGCUAAACCGGCUGAGCUUACAGAUGCCUUUGAAAAAGAAAUUACUUUGUUAGAAAAUCGCGUAUUAAUAGAAUAAGAAAAAAUUAAAUCAAUCAAUUUACGAUUUAAAUCUAAGUACUAUAGGAUUUUACUUAUUGUAAAGUAAAAAAUUUUUUAUAUUAUUUAAAUAAUAACAAUGCAAGUAUAUGUGAACAUGUAUACAAACCGUUUUGUAUUAAAUAGUUUUAAUCGGUUUUAUUUCAAUAAAAAUUUUUCAGAAAUAAAUUACACAUUUUUAUGAA